rnacentral:rRNA from 1 species
GAUGAACGCUGGCUACAGGCUUAACACAUGCAAGUCGAGGGGAAACGGCAUUGAGUGCUUGCACUGAAUGGACGUCGACCGGCGCACGGGUGAGUAACGCGUAUCCAACCUUCCCGUUACUGCGGGAUAACCUGCCGAAAGGCAGACUAAUGCCGCAUGUUCUUCGAUGACGGCAUCAGAUUCGAAGCAAAGAUCCGUCGGUAACGGAGGGGGAUGCGUCUGAUUAGCUGGUUGGCGGGGCGACGGCCCACCAAGGCGACGAUCAGUAGGGGUUCUGAGAGGAAGGUCCCCCACAUUGGAACUGAGACACGGUCCAAACUCCUACGGGAGGCAGCAGUGAGGAAUAUUGGUCAAUGGGCGGAAGCCUGAACCAGCCAAGUAGCGUGCAGGAGGACGGCCCUACGGGUUGUAAACUGCUUUUAUGCGGGGAUAAAGUGAGGGACGCGUCCCUUUUUGCAGGUACCGCAUGAAUAAGGACCGGCUAAUUCCGUGCCAGCAGCCGCGGUAAUACGGAAGGUCCGGGCGUUAUCCGGAUUUAUUGGGUUUAAAGGGAGCGUAGGCCGGGGAUUAAGUGUGUUGUGAAAUGUAGGCGCCCAACGUCUGACUUGCAGCGCAUACUGGUUCCCUUGAGUACGCGCAACGCCGGCGGAAUUCGUCGUGUAGCGGUGAAAUGCUUAGAUAUGACGAAGAACCCCGAUUGCGAAGGCAGCCGGCGGGAGCGCAACUGACGCUGAAGCUCGAAGGUGCGGGUAUCGAACAGG